GUGCCAGCCGCCGCGGUAAUACCGGCAGCCCGAGUGAUGGCCGAUCUUAUUGGGCCUAAAGCGUCCGUAGCUGGCUGCGCAAGUCCGUCGGGAAAUCCACUCGCCCAACGAGUGGGCGUCCGACGGAAACUGCACAGCUUGGGACCGGAAGGCUCAGAGAGUACGUCCGGGGUAGGAGUGAAAUCCCGUAAUCCCGGACGGACUACCGAUGGCGAAAGCACUUCGAGAAAACGGAUCCGACAGUGAGGGACGAAAGCCAGGGUCUCCAACCGGAUUAGAAACCGUGUAGUCC
rnacentral:rRNA from 1 species